GGUAUCCCUUUAAGAAACAAUUAACAACUCAUUCAAAUUUUCUUCUGUAUCAUUUUUGAGUCUUUCUUUCUCUCUGACUGAAAUGUUGCAGUUCAGUCACACACGUGGCCGAAGUUCUUUAGCCCUGUCAGCUGCAAUUUUCAGAGAAACCUUUGCUGGAUAAUUCCCCAUGAGGCUGGAUGAGAGGACAGGUUUGUGUAGCUGUCUGCAUUGGAGGAUAAUAUUGCCCUCUUCCUUCUGAUCGUCUGAUGACUUUUGGAGUGUGGGACACUGAAUAACCCAGCAGAGAGAUAUCACCUGUGAGCAAGGAGCGUUGCAGAUGCUGAUGUCCUCCCUCCCAAAUGCUGCUUUGUCAGCUGGUGCUGUCAUCAAGCCCCGGUCUCCUUCUCUGGAACUUGCCACCACCCUCGCCCAUGUGUCACCUGAGGGGUGAAGGGCUCAGAAGACCUCAAAACCUUCCCAUUCUCUGGCCAGUGCCUCGGAGAUGAUGAUGUAGUCCCUAUGUGGGCCGCAGAAAGCACUUCGAGCCGUGCUGGAGUCGUGCUGGGUGGCUCUGAUAGCAGAGCUAAUGGGAGCGAAUGGGAUGCAACGAACUGUUCUAAUGACACCAGCCA